rnacentral:lncRNA from 1 species
CCUGACAUCCCUUCCUAAGCAACCUACGAGCCUGAAGAGCUGAUAUCAGACCUCUAGGUGUACCCCUCUUGUCUCCUCUGAAGACGACCUCUGACCCGUUUUGAUCUCUGAACCUGACUACCUUGUCUCUGCAGUCCAAGGUAGCACCAUGGGUAGAUAGCCAAUCCAUCCCUAGAAUGACGUCAAAAUCUGUCAAAUCUAAAACCACAAGGUCGGCGGAGAGGCAUCUUCCCUCAACAAAAACUGGACUGUACUGGCAGACUGACUUUGCCACUGACGGGUCACACUUGGGUCCACUGACCCAUAGGGGACACUCUAACCCAGAG